rnacentral:rRNA from 1 species
AACGAACGCUGGCGGCAUGCCUAACACAUGCAAGUCGAACGAGACCUUCGGGUCUAGUGGCGCACGGGUGCGUAACGCGUGGGAACCUGCCCUUAGGUUCGGAAUAACUCCCCGAAAGGGGUGCUAAUACCGGAUAAUGUCUUCGGACCAAAGAUUUAUCGCCUUUGGAUGGGCCCGCGUUGGAUUAGCUAGUUGGUAGGGUAAAAGCCUACCAAGGCGACGAUCCAUAGCUGGUCUGAGAGGAUGAUCAGCCACACUGGGACUGAGACACGGCCCAGACUCCUACGGGAAGCAGCAGUAGGGAAUAUUAGACAAUGGGCGAAAGCCUGAUCCAGCAAUGCCGCGUGAGUGAUGAAGGCCUUAGGGUUGUAAAGCUCUUUUACCCGGGAUGAUAAUGACAGUACCGGGAGAAUAAGCACCGGCUAACUCCGUG